rnacentral:rRNA from 1 species
ACGCCUAACACAUGCAAGUCGAGCGAGGUAGCAAUACCUAGCGGCAGACGGGUGCGUAACAUGUGGGAAUCUGCCUUUUGGUUCGGAAUAACACGGGGAAACCUGUGCUAAUACCGGAUAAGUCCUUACGGAGAAAGUUUUAAUGCCAAAAGAUGAGCCCGCAUUUGAUUAGUUUGUCGGUGAGGUAAUGGCUCACCAAGACUACAAUCAAUAGCUGAUUUGAGAGGAUGAUCAGCCACACUGGGACUGAGAUACGGCCCAGACUCCUACGGGAGGCAGCAGUGGGGAAUCUUGCACAAUGGGCGAAAGCCUGAUGCAGCGAUGCCGCGUGAGUGAAGAAGGCCCUUGGGUUGUAAAGCUCUUUUGUCGGGAAAGAUAAUGACUGUACCCGAAGAAUAAGGCCCGGCUAACUUCGUGCCAGCAGCCGCGGUAAUACGAAGGGACCUAGCGUAGUUCGGAAUUACUGGGCGUAAAGAGUAUGUAGGCGGCUAGAUAAGUUAGUUGUGAAAACCCAAAGCUUAACUUUGGAAUUGCAAUUAAAACUAUUUAGCUAGAGUAUGAUAGAGGAAAGCGGAAUACAUAGUGUAGAGGUGAAAUUCGUAGAUAUUAUGUAGGACACCAGUUGCGAAGGCGGCUUUCUGGAUCAUUACUGACGCUGAGAUACGAAAGUAUGGGUAGCGAAGAGGAUUAGAUACCCUCGUAGUCCAUACUGUAAACGAUGAUUAUUAGAUGUGGGGAAUUAUUUCUCUGUAUCACAGCUAACGCGUUAAAUAAUCCGCCUGGGGAGUACGACCGCAAGGUUA